rnacentral:lncRNA from 1 species
CUCACCAAAGUUUAGUAAGAGAGCCCAUGGGCCACUUACUACAUCGAUUCCCACUUCACAGCAGAAAAGGAACUUGCUGUAACCACAAAGGGUUUCUGUACAAGCAACUUUGGAGAGUCAAAUUUUGGACAAUGUGGUUGUCUCCUUAUUUAUGAACUUGGGAAUAACGUGGGAAUACCUACCCAGGAAGAUCAAUCUUUUCUGUUAAGGUCUUUGCUGAUUGGAUGGGACCCACCCCUAUUGUGGAGGAUAAUCUGCAUUAUUUGAAAUCUACUGAUUCAAACAUUUUAUUUUUAAGUCAUCUCUCCACCCAACAUGGGGCUCAAACUCACAACCCUGAGAUCAAGAGUUGCAUGUUCCACUGACUAAGGCAGCCUGGGGCCCCACUGCUUGAUCAGCUUCUUGGUCUCUGCCCUGUGCUGCUGUAGCAUGGAAAGAUGUCUCAAGAGGAAGAUGGCACAGAAUAUCAGAUUUACCCAAAUGAGUUUCCUCUCUCUAGAAAACCAGCCUCUUAUGUCCUACCUGCUUUGGUAUUUCUGGGGGCCUUCAAACAGGCUCUUGAUCGUUUAUCAGCUGACUGCCAACAAGGUGUGAACGUUCUGGCCUCAGGGCUGAAUGCUCAGAAGGAAACGCAGCCGACCCUGACACUGUGAAGGGAAACGAUGCCUGCUUUAGAUUCCUGAUCAGGGCAAGAGAAACUGGCACCCUGUCCCCAUCCGUGGAGGGAGACUCAGAGAAGGAACUCAUGACCUGGGCACCAGCUCUUAGCUGCCUUGGCCAGUGAGGACUGACAGCACUCUGUCCCUGCUGGACAGCUCCCACCUUAUCCGCUGCCUGGCAUGCCCCACCUUCUCCUGAGGGCUUUCCAGGGGACGUAAAAGGCUCAGAGAAGCUUCCCAUUAAGCCUGGAGUUUAGACUACAUAUUAAGCACUCAGGUCAAUUGUCGAAAGGUAAGUACACCUCACGAUGGCUACAGUGUCCCUUCCCCACAGGGGACAAUCCCAAAUCCUCAUGUAAAGCCUUCCCUAACCUAUCCUCUGGUUUCUGUCACUCCUUAUUCACAUUUCUGUUAAUCCUCAGUUCCCGAGGAAGACAGACCUGCCCCAGGCCAUUGUGCCAGGACACAAAACCAUGUAGAACUCCCAUGCGGUGUCCCCAGAGUGGGUGCAGUUGUGCCUGUCUGGACAGCUAAAGGCUGAAGGGAAAUGCCAUUCAUACCUGGAAAAGAAAUCCCACAUGCCCUGCUUACCUGCUGCCCGCCCCCCAAGCUCCUUAGUCUUGGGCUGAGUCAGCGGUGGGGGUGGGGGGUUCCCAGGACAACUUAUGCAGGUAUUCGAUGCAUGCUUCUUCCGGUGAAGGACAGGUAUCCUGGGCACCCCUGGAGUUUCUGAUUCCACCCAUCUGAGGUGGAGCAUGAGAAUGUUCAUUCCUAACAGGUCACCAGGUCAUGCUGGUGCUGCCUUCCGGUCAGGCGGGGGACCACACUUGGGAAUCGCUGGGUUUGAAGAUGGGGGAGAGUCAGGAAGGCCACUUAGGAAGCUGUGUCAGUACCAGAGCCUGAAGCAGAGUGGGCUAGCUGGGGCGGAAGGGAAGCUGCAGAGCUGAGGGGCAUCUGGGAGGGUAGGGCCACCAGGAAGGGAGCCCAGCUGGUU